rnacentral:lncRNA from 1 species
GGAGAGGCCGUAGCUUUGACCUCCCCCUGUGAGGUGUGCUCCUCCGAACCGCCAGUCCUGCCUGUCGCAAUGGUCCAGUCCGUUCUGGAGGGGAGGAGCUCUGCUGCCUCCAUGGUGGAGAGGAGGACCAAGAGACCCACCCUGGACAGAGUGGAGGUUUCCGACACAGUGGAGAAUGUAGAAAUGAGCCUGGAGGAGCUGCAGCAGCUGCUGCUCAGGAGCCAUCAGCAGAGUACUGUGGAAACUGGGACCAGUUCUGUUAUGGACCCCUUCAGUCUAAGCCUACCUCUGACUGAGUGGAACUUCACAGAGAUGGAGUCCAACCUCAAAUCAUACAUGUUCCAGAAUCAGGAAGCGGAGGCUUUUCCAGCUGCCGGCUGUGAAGAACAGUGACUGAUCUGCCCU